rnacentral:lncRNA from 1 species
GGCUAAUUAGGCUUAAAAGAUUUGUCUCGCGAUUUACAACCAAACUGUGCAAUUAGUUUAUGUUUUCGUAUACAUUUAGUACUUCAUGCAUAUAUAUAUGUGUCCAAAGAUUCAAUAUGAUAGAUGAAAAGUUUUUGGGUGGAGAACUAAACAAGGCCGAGUAGUGAAUAGGAAUCCAAAUCCAAAAAAGAAACAAUAUCUCUAUUUCUCUUCUCUUCCAUCUUUAUUUUCUUUCCUGUUUCUUUCUAAAAAUCGUUCAGACUGUUUUAUUUAUUUUUUGCCUUACAGACUGUUCGUCACGAAUGAGGCUUUUCCUAUUACCAUAUAUUUUGUCGAUUUCUUUCUUUUAGUUCCAGAUAGAGUUUUUUUUUCCUGUUUUGAUGUAUUUUUAUAUUUCUGCUUUUUUCCAUGUUGCAUCUUUUUUCAGCCAAUUAGAGUUCUGGCGGUGUUUUGAAUCAGCACCAAUUACUAAAUUUGUGAUUGCACGUUAAGGCUUGGAUGGUUAUGCAAGGAUGGACAUAACGUUCCUACGUCCAGUCUCGAGCUCGUUGCUCGGUUUGCACUAGAAACUUGUAGUGGGGGUGUACAAGCGGUCGAGGGAGGGAAGGCUUCCCAAGUCACUGUUCGAGAACUGUGGUGGUUCGGGUGAUGUUCCGUGUCCUAGUGGCCUGCCCGACCUCCACUUUUAUGGAGGCGGGCUUCUUAAUUCAACCGCUUCCAUUAAUAUUGGCCAGCCCACUAGCGAUUGGUGAAGCCCAUAUUAGCCCAGUUUCUGACUAAGAGUAUAUAUACAAGCACAAACCCUAGCCCACUCCCAUCCCAUCCACUCUAAUGGGUGCGCUCUCUCCCUCUCUCGUUUUCUAACCCGACUUUGUCCUCCACCCUACAAACUCGGCGGUAUCACCACCCUCCCCUCCCCUCCCUGUGCCUCCCCUCCACUCCACUCCCUGUGGUGCUCCACACGACGACAACAAUCCCAGUGGUGUUGUACCUAGCGGUGCCCUUCUCCUAGCCUCUUCCCAUAGUGGCGUCCCUCCCCCACCUGGCAGUGCGCCACCAGUCGACGUCGGCAGCCCUACAACAGCUCGAUUGGGUGUCGGAUCUAGGCCGGCAGCGCGUCCCUGCGAUGGAUCUAGGUCGACAGCGCGCCCCGACGCAAAUCUAGGUCGGUCGCGCAAUUCAACGGCGGACCUAGGCUGGCCUCACGCCGCAGCGGUGGAUCCAGGCUGGCCUCGGACCCCAACCCGCGAAGGCAAUCCCCACACGUGGAGGCCAUGGCCUUCCGACGGCAGCGGCGUUUCAGCGGGCAUGCGUCAUACCCCACUCUCUCCCUCGACAUAGCAGUGUGGGCGAUGACAACUGUCUCGUGGACGGCGGUGGCACACGCCUCAAAUGGGCUCAACGGGCCUCAUCGAUGGGCUUGUUGAUUUUUUUAAAAAAAAUUAUUGAUUAUUGGAGGCGAGCAAACUCACCCGCCUCGGUGUUCAUAAUUAACCGAGGCCUAUGACUGG